rnacentral:rRNA from 1 species
AUAGCGUAUAUUAAAGUUGUUGCGUCUAAAAAGCUCGUAGUUGGAUCUUGGGUCGGGGGGAGCGGUCCGCCCCUCGUGGGUGUGCACUGGUCCACCCGACCUUUCUGCCGGGGACGCGCUCCUGGCCUUCGCUGGUCGGGACGCGGAGUCGGCGAUGUUACUUUGAAAAAAUUAGAGUGCUCAAAGCAAGCCUAUGCUCUGAAUACAUUAGCAUGGAAUAACGUGAUAGGACUCUGGUCCUGUUGUGUUGGUCUUCGGGACCGGAGUAAUGAUUAAUAGGGACAGUUGGGGGCAUUCGUAUUUCAUUGUCAGAGGUGAAAUUCUUGGAUUUAUGAAAGACGAACUUCUG